rnacentral:misc_RNA from 1 species
GAACGCACCUUGCGCCCUUUGGCUAUUCCGAAGGGCAUGCCUGUUUGAGUAUCAUGAACACCUCAACUCUCAUGGUUUGCCAUGAUGAGCUUGGACUUUGGGGGUCUUGCUGGCCUAUGGGUCGGCUCCUCUCAAAUGGAUCAGCUUGCCAGUGUUUGGUGGCAUCACAGGUGUGAUAACUAUCUACGCUUGUGAUUUUCCAUCAGGUAACCUUCAGUGAUGGAGGUUCGCUGGGGCUCAUAAAUGUCUCUCCUCAGUGAAGACAGCCUUUUGAACGUUUGAUCUCAAAUCAGGUAGGACUACCCGCUGAACUUA